CCCAAACAAAGGGCCUUUCAGAACUUAAUACAUACUUGAGUUGAGCCCAUGUGUCUAGCAGUUCUAACCGUGAAGAAGGACGCCCUUUUUCUCAAUUUUAACGGGCUUAAAGAUUCACGGCUUGCUAGACGUAGUCACUAAGACAAAGCCAACAAAAACAGUAUCAACUUCGACUGUACCACUAUUUUGAAACCAUAACAAC
rnacentral:lncRNA from 1 species